GACGAACGCUGGCGGCGUGCCUAACACUAUGCAAGUCGAACGGAGAUGAUGGGAUUAGCUUGCUAUUUAAUCAUCUUAGUGGCGGACGGGUGAGUAACACGUGGGCAACCUGCCCCAAAGAGGGGGAUAACACCGAGAAAUCGGUGCUAAUACCGCAUAACAUUAGAGCUUCGCAUGGAGCUUUAAUCAAAGGAGCAAUCCGCUUUGGGAUGGGCCCGCGUCUGAUUAGCUAGUUGGUGAGGUAACGGCUCACCAAGGCGACGAUCAGUAGCCGAUCUGAGAGGAUGACCGGCCACACUGGAACUGAGACACGGUCCAGACUCCUACGGGAGGCAGCAGUGGGGAAUAUUGCACAAUGGGGGAAACCCUGAUGCAGCAACGCCGCGUGGAGGAAGAAGGUCUUCGGAUUGUAAACUCCUGUCUUCUGGGACGAAUAAUGACGGUACCAGAGGAGGAAGCCACGGCUAACUACGUG
rnacentral:rRNA from 1 species